GCCCCUUGGGACUGUGAGGCUGCCUUUUGAACGCCGGCUGGGACUGGAAGCACACCAAUGCACAAACUACAGAUUGUGAAUGUCAUCAUCCUAUGAGAUCCUGCCCAAAACAAACCGUCAUCAAAUCUCUGCUCCACAUGAUGCUGACAUAAAACCAAACAAACCUGACUGCGCUUUUGAAAGGAGAGCUGGAAGCUGAAAAGCAACAAAACACAAAGGAGUUCAGCUGGAAUCGCCUGUAUGUUUAUGGGAGCAUCUAUUGAGGUUCUUACACAGAGAUGAGCCAUGAUCUGUACCUCCCGUGGUAGUCUCCAUGGUGUUGAUGGAGGGAGAUUGAAUGCUUGAAUAUACAGAACUUGCAAAAAGAAGAUGAAUCAUUUGCUGGAGUCAAAUUGGGUAGUUUUAAAAUCUUUUAAAUAUCUAGAGACUAGAUUGACACGUGUGUAUCUGUGAUGUUAACUUUUUGUGGGUGGUCUCUUUGCUCAAGUAUUUAUGUGAACACAUUUGAUUUGUUGCUUAUAGAAGAGGGGGUUUUAUGAGGGACAGAGUUAUAUUU